rnacentral:rRNA from 1 species
GAUGAACGCUGGCGGCGUGCCUAAUACAUGCAAGUCGAGCGAACAGAUGAGGAGCUUGCUCCUCUGACGUUAGCGGCGGACGGGUGAGUAACACGUGGAUAACCUACCUAUAAGACUGGGAUAACUUCGGGAAACCGGAGCUAAUACCGGAUAAUAUAUUGAACCGCAUGGUUCAAUAGUGAAAGACGGUUUUGCUGUCACUUAUAGAUGGAUCCGCGCCGCAUUAGCUAGUUGGUAAGGUAACGGCUUACCAAGGCAACGAUGCGUAGCCGACCUGAGAGGGUGAUCGGCCACACUGGAACUGAGACACGGUCCAGACUCCUACGGGAGGCAGCAGUAGGGAAUCUUCCGCAAUGGGCGAAAGCUUGACGGAGCAACGCCGCGUGAGUGAUGAAGGUCUUCGGAUCGUAAAACUCUGUUAUUAGGGAAGAACAAAUGUAUAAGUAACUAUGCACGUCUUGACGGUACCUAAUCAGAAAGCCACGGCUAACUACGUG